rnacentral:lncRNA from 1 species
ACCUAGACGUCAUAGUCUAGCGGCACAAGGUUCGUCAAAAUGGCAUUUGUGCUUAAAAAAACAGUUAAUAAGCAUUUGUGCUUAAAAAAAAAGAGGAGUUGGCAGCAUAGGCAGUAGGGCUUCUCUCGUGAGCGGGAAGUCACCUAGACGUCAUAAUCUAGUGGCACAAGGGCCGUCCAGCCUAGAAUGUCGGGACCUCAACCAGUGGCAACUCAAUUGAGACCGGAUGUAACAUCAUGAUAGCAUCUAUGCACGAGACCCGGGGGAGAGAUAUGGGCCGUCCAGCCUAGAAUGUAGGGACCUCAACCAGUGGCAACUCAAUUGAGACCGGAUGUAACAUCAUGAUAGCAUCCAUGCACGAGACCCGGGGGAGAGAUAUGGGCCGUCCAGCCUAGAAUGUAGGGACCUCAACCAGUGGCAACUCAAUUGAGACCGGAUGUAACAUCAUGAUAGCAUCCAUGCACGAGACCCGGGGGAGAGAUAUGGGCCGUCCAGCCUAGAAUGUAGGGACCUCAACCAGUGGCAACUCAAUUGAGACCGGAUGUAACAUCAUGAUAGCAUCCAUGCACGAGACCCGGGGGAGAGAUAUCUCCUAUACCCUCGAUCCCCCAACAACGGCCAAACACUGCCAACUCCUGCCCCCCACGGCUAGGGUGACAAGCUUGUGCCACCGAGCUCGGCGGGAGCAACUCGUUCGUCUCCUCUUUUAUAUGGGUUUAAACCGCUGUAGAUUUUCCGUAUGGUACAAAUUAAAACUUCGUUUCUGUCUAUACGAAUUGCGUCUCCGAUAUGGCUUAAAGGCAGGCCCGGCCCGCAGCGCUGCCUCGAACGCCAUGGCGACGAACAGCAUGGCCACACCGCUAUCAGCCAGCCGCGCAUGCACACAACAAGCCGUCCUGUCGUUGUUGCAGCAACUGCUCGCCACCGCCGCCGCUGCCACCAUCUUCACCGGCGACCGCGACGGCGGCGGCGGCGGCUGCGGCAGCCCGGCGGCCGCUGUUCUGAACGACGGUCGUCAUGUACGUCUCACUGAUGUCAAUCACCAGCCGGAUGUUCUAUGUGUCCAGAUUGAUAAAUAAACAUAAUUAGCUUAAUUAGUGAGCUACUCAUCGUUAAAUAUACUCAUCAACAGUAAAUUCCAUGCAUUUUGCAGCUAAGACCAUGUUUAGAUCCUCCAAAAUUUUGUAGCACUUUUUUGCCAUUUUGGAUCUAAACACUAGUAGCAAAAGUUGGCAAUUUGGCAUUUGGCAUUUGCUAGUCUAUAGUAGCAAAUUAUGCCAAAAAAAUACUUUGGGACCACUCCCUCUCUCUUUCUCUCUCACUUUAGUGCUAGAAUGGCAAAACUUUAACAUCCAUCUAAACACCAACGAGUACUUUUGCAAUGCCAAAACUUUUGCCACCAAAACUUUUGCCAUUUGCCAUUUGCCAUUCCAAAUGGAUCUAAACAGGCCCUAAGAAGAGAGAGAUUUUUUUUGAGAAAGACGACGGCAGGAGCUCUGCCGAAAUUUAAUUAAGAAGGAAAACAGAGUACAAACAGAUCCUUGAUUAAAAAAAUAGAGACACAACUUAAGGAGGCUUAAACGCCCAGCUACACAAGUCUAAGAAGAGAAAGAUUAACCGACCAGGACAGAAUCGGCAGGAGUUGUCUGGAUAGAUCGACGAGAUGUACAAUCCUUUGAUGAUUGAUUACGGUUUUGUAUAAGACGCCAUUAUUAUGUACUCUGCUCAUGCAUCUUCACCUGCUCUACAAUUCUAAGUUGUUCACUAGAAUUGGCAAGUCUAGAGAAGCCGAGUAGCUGACUAAUACCCAGCCACCAAACUGCUAACAGCAGAAUAAUUAAGACAAGAGACUCUCUAGUGAAGAAUUAGUGAGGUUUAGCGUGGUGUGAAAUUAACAAGAGACCCGGGAGCUGCCUCGAUCCGCAGCUGCGUCAGAAUAUUAUUCAGGUAGCUGAAAAUUAGCACCAUUGAUGUUUUGGUUGAGCACAAAAUAAGGGGCAGAGAUAGAGAUCACUAUGAUCAUUACUGCUUCCUCUGAUUCCCUUAGCCUAAAGUGUUUGAUUAGGAAUUUCUAUGCCACCAUUUUUCUUGGUCUUGUGUACCCCAUAAACUAUAUUGCUGAUAUUAAAAAUAGACACCAUCCCAAUCGUGUCACGCUUUCGUCAACACGGUGCAGUAAGAGUCCUCCUCCUACCCUCAAUGGCGGGCCAUGGCGUUGGUUGUGGGGGAUGUGAGUGUGACACGCUCCUCUCGUAGCGCAAGGUGGCGAAGAUCGCCGACCAGCUCACGUGUGCGUCGGAUCUGCUCUCCCUUUGUGGGGCGAGGAUGAUUCCUUGUCGCACUGCCACUAGUUGUGACCUCCGUCUUCGCGCCGAGGCCUGUACCUCUUCCCCACCAUCACCUGUGUUGGGCCUCCUCGGCAGCCUUCAUGAGUGGCCGCCGCCAGGCAGUCCCCUCCACAUCCGUGACGACCUCAGCACACCCGUUGGCCACCUCCACCUCUCUCCAAGCCAUCUCUGGUCUGUCCACAAGCGUCGGCUCCCCCACUGCCAUGGGCACCUCCCAGCAAGCGCCAGCCUCAGGUGCAGCAGGUCUUAGCGGCAAUGACGAAGAUGACGAGCUGCUAGGGCUUGGCUUUGGGCUGGGGCCGGUGAGGUGGCGAGCGAUGGGUAGAUAUCGACAGCGACCGAGAUGAGUCAAGGAAGAGAAGACCAAGAGAGGAAGAAGCAUAACUGCCAUGUGUGUGUCACGUAGGACCAAAACCACUCUAGAGCAAGUCAAGGGUGCAAUUUGUUCGGUAUGCAAAGUUGAGGGUGAAGGUUGUUUGAUUUUGUGGUUUAUGGGAGUAAUUCGUACUCAUACAAUAGUACAUAGGGGUAAUUCAGACUUUUUCCUAUAGCAUUGGAUAGUGCUCUUUAAGGCUUUUUCCGUCCAAGCCACAUAUCCUCUUUUAAAUGAAUUUGAGUUCCAUUUUUCAACAGAAAAGAACCUGGACACAAAACUCAUGUUUGACCAUCAAACCUAACAAAAAGUGAGAAUCGCUUGAUUUCUUUUCAACUAAAGAUAUAGUUUUCUUCCAUCAAUUUUGUUUCAUAGAAUAUUUUGCCACACCCCUUCCUCAUUUAUUAACCUGAAUAACUAUUUGCGGAGCAAACAUUUAGUUUGCUCAUUCAAGUUUAGAAUACCCAAUCAUUAUAAUCAGGUUUUUUAAAAAAAAUCCCCAAAGGAUCGUAAAACGGUUAACAUAAAUAUUGGUAAGCUCCUCAACAUUGAAUUAACAAGAGUUGGAUUACUACCUGCAGAUAAUAAUUUGCUCUUCCAACAACUUAGCUUUUUUUUUUCUAAAACCUGUCCUCUACUUCUUUCCAAUCUUUAUUUAGGUCGAUCCUCUAAGACAUAGGUUUUAAUGCUUUAAACCCAUUUGGCACAUUUAGAGUUUGGAUCGAUUGUAUUGAUCAAAUCCGUGGAUGAUCUCGUGAGUGGAAAGGGUGCGAAAAUAAGAAUGUACCAUGAAUUUAAAAAGAAAAGAGGAGUUGGACAGGAUAGGACCGUCGCUUCUCUCAUGAUCGAUUGUAGUGAUCAAAUCCGUGGAUGAUCUCGUGAGUGGAAAGGGUGUGAAAAUAAGAAUGUACCAUGUUUUUUUUAAAAAAAAUGAGGAGUUGGAUAGGAUAGGGUUGUGGCUUCUCCCGUGAGUAGAAAGGGAGUGAGUGUGAAAAUAAGAAUGUACCAUGUUUUUUUAAAAAAAAUGAGGAGUUGGACAGGAUAGGGUUGUGGCUUCUCUCGUGAGUAGAAAGGGAGUGACCUAGACGUUUUUGUUAGGCGGCGCAAGGGCCGACCCGAACACAACGCUAGAGUAGUCACAAACUAGUUGCAACCUAACCUCAAUUGGGUAGGGGCUUGGAUGAACAUCCACAAUCCUCCUGGGCCAAAGUCGGCUAUAGAACGAGCAUCCGGCACGAGACCCGGGGGAGAAAUAUCUCCUAUAUACCUCGAUCCCCCAACAACGGCCAAACCCUGCCAACUCCCGCCCCCCUGCAGCUGGGAUUACAAGCUCGC